GUGUGCUGCUGUUGUCCUGUGGCUCCUGUGUGCAACAUUUAAGUCACUGCCUAGAGUGAGAGCCUUUGGGUGACCUGGAUUUCCUACACGAAGCUGUCCCAGAAGCCUCCUCGGGGUCCUGUUGGUUAACACAGAGUAACCCCUGCUGGCACUGACCCAGCUGUCCGUGCUGUGAUCUGUACUGGCAUCUCCUCUGUGCACAGGGCUGGAACACAUCGACUCUGCUGUUGGAUCAAGGGAAAAGAAGAAAGCCACCCUUGAGGAAUCUAAUUAGACAGUGCAGUCCUGUAGCAAACACCAAGUAUGAAUCAGCAGCUACAGUCCAGUCCUCUCAGCAGACACCGCACACAAACCAACUGCUGUAGUUCUAACCUGAAGAAACCACAAGGCUCACCAACUGGCCUGAGGUCACUGAAGAGGCAAGAAGCUGCAGGACCCUCACUCGCAGUUCUUGGAUUUUGAAUGGCUAACCGAAGUGUGAUAAUGAAGUGAGAAGAUAAUGAAAGUAAAAUAACAUGUGAAGAAGAGUGUCCAGAUGGAUUGCUAAUUCACACACAGGUUGCUAAUCCACAGACGAUGGAUUGCUAAUCCACAGACAGACUGCUAAUCCACAGUCAGAUUGCUAAUCUACAAACUCAUUGUUUGGAAGACAUCGAAGACAUUUGCCUGAGUUAUGGUUUCUGUUACUGUGAUGAAACACCAUGACCAAUGCUGUGAUGAAACACCACUACCAAUGCUGUAAUG